GAUGAAGAACGCAGCGAAAUGCGAUACGUAAUGUGAAUUGCAGAAUUCAGUGAAUCAUCGAAUCUUUGAACGCACAUUGCGCCCGCCAGUAUUCUGGCGGGCAUGCCUGUUCGAGCGUCAUUACAACCCUCAGGCCCCCGGGCCUGGCGUUGGGGAUCGGCGGAAGCCCCCUGUGGGCACACGCCGUCCCUCAAAUACAGUGGCGGUCCCGCCGCAGCUUCCAUUGCGUAGUAGCUAACACCUCGCAACUGGAGAGCGGCGCGGCCAUGCCGUAAAACACCCAACUUCUGAAUGUUGACCUCGAAUCAGGUAGGAAUACCCGCUGAACUUAAGCAUAUCAAUAAGCGGAGGA
rnacentral:misc_RNA from 1 species